rnacentral:rRNA from 1 species
UACCAGCACCCCGAGUGGUCGGGACGAUUAUUGGGCCUAAAGCAUCCGUAGCCGGUUCUACAAGUCUUCCGUUAAAUCCACCUGCUUAACAGAUGGGCUGCGGAGGAUACUAUGGAGCUAGGAGGCGGGAGAGGCAAGCGGUACUUAGUGGGUAGGGGUAAAAUCCGUUGAUCCAUUGAAGACCACCAGUGGCGAAGGCGGCAUCCUGGACCGACACUGACGCUGAGGUGCGAAAGCGUGGGGAGCAAACAGG